CCUACGGGGGGCAGCAGUGGGGAAUAUUGGACAAUGGGGGGAACCCUGAUCCAGCCAUGCCGCGUGUGUGAAGAAGGCCCUCGGGUGGUAAAGCACUUUCAGUGAGGAAGAACGCCUGUUGGUUAAUACCCAUCAGGAAAGACAUCACUCACAGAAGAAGCACCGGCUAACUCCGUGCCAGCAGCCGCGGUAAUACGGAGGGUGCGAGCGUUAAUCGGAAUUACUGGGCGUAAAGCGCGCGUAGGUGGCUUGAUAAGCCGGUUGUGAAAGCCCCGGGCUCAACCUGGGAACGGCAUCCGGAACUGUCAAGCUAGAGUGCAGGAGAGGAAGGUAGAAUUCCCGGUGUAGCGGUGAAAUGCGUAGAGAUCGGGAGGAAUACCAGUGGCGAAGGCGGCCUUCUGGACUGACACUGACACUGAGGUGCGAAAGCGUGGGUAGCAAACAGGAUUAGAUACCCCAGUAGUC
rnacentral:rRNA from 1 species